GUAGGUGGCAAGCGUUGUCCGGAAUUAUUGGGCGUAAAGCGCGCGCAGGCGGUUCUUUAAGUCUGAUGUGAAAGCCCACGGCUCAACCGUGGAGGGUCAUUGGAAACUGGAGAACUUGAGUACAGAAGAGGAAAGCGGAAUUCCACGUGUAGCGGUGAAAUGCGUAGAGAUGUGGAGGAACACGAGUGGCGAAGGCGGCUUUCUGGUCUGUAACUGACGCUGAGGCGCGAAAGCGUGGGGAGCAAACAGGAUUAGAUACCCUGGUAGUCCACGCCGUAAACGAUGAGUGCUAAGUGUUAGGGGGUUUCCGCCCCCCUUAGUGCUGCAGCUAACGCAUUAAGCACUCCGCCCUGGGAGUACGGCCGCAAGGCUG
rnacentral:rRNA from 1 species